rnacentral:lncRNA from 1 species
AAAUACUGACACAAACUUCAACCUAAUCCUUUAAUUAAUAACCGAAUGGAGUCAGGUCUGAAGAGCGAACUAGUCAGGAAAUAAGAUUUUCAAAAGUGUAUUGUAAUUUGUAUGAAUGCCGUUAGUAAAUUGUCAAAUGUGAUUCUGAAAUGCAGCAAUCGUUCUUCAACGAAAAAUACUUAUCUCUUUUACGGCUUUUGUAACCGGAAUUCCCAAGCUCAUAUAAGGGAAAAUCAAGGGAAAUUUCUUUACAGAAAAAUAUGCCAUAAAAUAUAUCAAAUAAAUAAAAUGAAAGGCGAAUUUUGUAGAGCAAUAAAUUUAAUUCUGCAUUUUGUAUUUUUAGUACAAUUUUUUCACAAAGUUUAAAGCGAUCUACGCUUAUGUAAAAUUUCUUCUCCAGCUUUAUGUACAUAAUAAGACGUCAAAGUCUGUAAUCCAUACGUAAAGUAUUAGAAUACAAUGAUAAAAAUAAACAGUGUAAAAACGUUACUAAAGGUUAUUGUUUCCUUCACUAAUUCUACUUUAAUUAUUACCAUAUUUAUCUUUGGUUUUACGAUUUUUUCUACAUAAUUUUGUUUCCACUAAAGAGAAUUUAUUUCGAAUACUAAAAACGACGCCUUCGACUUUUUAAAAUUCAAAUAUGAAUUAUCAUCGACGCUUUGUUUCACUUAACGGAACAUGUGUAGACUUUUAUUGCCUAAUCUGAAACAUCUUCGCGAAAACUAUCUGAUAAUUAGAUGAUUGACAUAUUGCCAGCAAUACUGAUGGUCCCCUUGUAAUAGAAGGUUUAAAAUAUUUCGUUUUCGUUCCCGAUAACAGAAGAUGCGUUACAAUUAAA